UGGGGAAUCUUGCACAAUGGGCGAAAGCCUGAUGCAGCGACGCCGCGUGCGGGAUGAAGGCCUUCGGGUUGUAAACCGCUUUCAGCAGGGACGAGGCCGCAAGGUGACGGUACCUGCAGAAGAAGCCCCGGCUAACUACGUGCCAGCAGCCGCGGUAAUACGUAGGGGGCAAGCGUUAUCCGGAUUCAUUGGGCGUAAAGCGCGCGUAGGCGGUUUGUUAGGUCAGGAGUUAAAUCUGGGGGCUCAACCCCUAUCCGCUCCUGAUACCGGCAGGCUUGAGUCUGGUAGGUGAAGGCGGAAUUCCAAGUGUAGCGGUGAAAUGCGCAGAUAUUUGGAAGAACACCGGUGGCGAAGGCGGCCUUCUGGGCCACGACUGACGCUGAGGCGCGAAAGCUAGGGGAGCGAACAGG
rnacentral:rRNA from 1 species